UCGUCUAGUCGACGUUCAUGACUCCACCUUCUCGGAGGAGUCACCAUCUGCCGAGGAGCCCUCCUGGGUCUCAACAAAUGGUAUUCCAGAAGCGGCUAAAGACGUCGUUGCCUGCCCAUUCUAUCAGUGUGCCCUCGAAGACAUCUUCCCCGACAACCGGGACACUGAAGCCAAGCGAGAUGAUAAGGUCGACCAGCUACUCCAGUGCGGCUUCCUCUAUGGCAAGGGCAGCAAGCAAGCCUUACACCACAAGCGACGAAAACGCCCCGCAAGAAGCCCUGAGUGACAUGGCACUGUAAAGCAGCACAGGAUGGCGGCAAACAGACAGCAAAGUGGCUCAAAACAUUCGAAGACUCGAACCAGCAUGAGUAUCGCUCCCCUGGGCGUGAAAGACGGCACAUUCGCUUUGGAGCAGCGCGGCCUCAGCGUAUCGCCCUUUGGGUGGGGAUUUGAAGCCCGGGCUUGUUAAUGGGCUCUCACACGAAGCUGUUGGUUGCCGAGGUUGUCCGGGAUUGAGCAGCUUGGCAGCCUUCACGCAGAUAGCCUUCGGGCAAUCCAACAUAAUCCCACUGCCUGUCACGUAACAAGCUCUUGUGCAUUUUAGCGCACUUGUAUAUAUGUUACUUAAAAUAUUAUUUAUGAUUGUAAUAUUGUUUCUUUUGUUGCAAAUAAAAUAAUUGUUGGUG